rnacentral:sRNA from 14 species
GGUGCGGAGGAGGUAUUUCAUUUGGAAAAAAGGCCGUUGGUCGAAAAAUAAUAAUUGGAAAUACAAAUAAUUAUUUUUGGGAUUGAGAAGACAGAGAAAGAGUAGUAUUUGAAAGCAAUAGAAACAAUACGCCGAUAUAU